rnacentral:rRNA from 1 species
UACGAAGGGUGCAAGCGUUACUCGGAAUUACUGGGCGUAAAGGGCGCGUAGGCGGCCUGUUAAGUCGAACGUGAAAUCCCCGGGCUCAACCCGGGAACUGCGUCCGAUACUGGCAGGCUUGAAUUCGGGAGAGGGAUGUGGAAUUCCAGGUGUAGCGGUGAAAUGCGUAGAUAUCUGGAGGAACACCGGUGGCGAAGGCGG